UUAGCUGGACAUCUCUGCUUUUAACUAAACCUCCAGACUUUGGCCCGAUUCUCAGACUUAGUCGUGGUGCACAUGCCACAAGUGGAAGGUCCACGAAGAACAGGAAAGAAAGUGGAUCCUGAGAAAUCGCCCUUCAAAAUGCUGGUCCCAGCAAACUAGCAUGUUUUGAUGAAGAAAGACCCCCUGAAACAUUGGGCAGGUGAUCCAGCAUGGAAGACACCUGGGAUGAUGCAGUCACAGACCAAUACGAUUCAAACAUAAGGACAGGUUACUUGGAAAAAGACCUUUGCUUGUAUUUCCAUAGAAACUGAAAAUGGGUGGGCUUCUUCAAGACUAAUGUGGUUUGAUGAAGGAAGAUACUGUGAAGCAAUUCCCAGGUGAUGCAGCUUUGAGGACUCCUGGGACAAUGCAGAGAAAGCAAGGUCUAAGGAGGAAGAAAAGCACAGAGCCUUCUAGUGCUUGCUUUGGACAUGGUCAGGAAGGGUACAAAGUCCCAACAGAAGAGGAAAUAGACAAUCUGGAUAACGCUCGAGAUUCAGGACAGAAAUUCAGCCAUAGAUCAAUUACAACACGUCAGCUCUAGCCCAGUUGAUAGAAGGCAAGCUAUAGACAAAUGUCAAAACCUAAGAAAUUUGAAGCCUCCAGAACUGCUACUGUGGCUGACACCACAGCAAAUGUAUAGAAAAUACGAAUAAUACAACCAAUCAAAAACUGUUUUAAAACCUGUGGAAAAGAAAAGCAACAUCAAAUUUUGGAUUUGUUCAAAUUUUGAUUGCUUUUAAUUCAAGGAUUGGUUAUAGCUGUUAUGGUACAAAGAUUUCGUUUUUUUUUUUAAAGUUUCAUAGUCUCAACAUUUAUGUUGUUAUCAUCUCCUAACUACAUUAGCAGACAGUUGAUGUUGACAUGGUUUUGGAUAGGUAACAAUACAAUUUUAUUCAAGAAGAUAUUAUUUGUGGACAGUCUGUCUCCUUGGCUAGGUACAGCUUGAGUACAGAUGAUCUGCUGUUGUUUGAGGUAAUUCAAUGUGGAAAUUUUUUUUGCACUUGUCCCAAGGGUAGUGCUACUGUCCACUCUGUUUUCUGUGUCUUCAGAGAUUUUCUGAUCUGAAAAAUCUCCACUGGCAUCCAGGCUCAUUGCACACAAAGGGCGUCUCUCCCCUGUGUUUCUUGAUAUGGU
rnacentral:lncRNA from 1 species